rnacentral:rRNA from 1 species
AUUGAACGCUGGCGGCAGGCCUAACACAUGCAAGUCGAGCGGAGCGGCGGAGGGGUGAGUGAUGCCUAGGAAUAUGCCAGGUCGUGGUGGAUGACGUCCGGAAAUGGGCGCUAAUACCGAUUACUAUCAGAUGAGCCUAGGUCGGAUUGGCUAGUUGGUGGGGUAAGGGCUUACCAAGGCGACGAUCCGUAACUGGUCUGGGAGGAUGAUCAGUCACACUGGAACUGAGACACGGUCCAGACUCCUACGGGAGGCAGCAGUGGGGAAUAUUGGACAAUGGGCGAAAGCCUGAUCCAGCCAUGCCGCGUGUAUGAAGAAGGUCUUCGGAUUGUAAAGCACUUUAAGUUGGGAGGCGUUACCAGCAGAAUAAGCACCGGCUAACUUCGUGCCAGCAGCCGCGGUAAUUC